AGCAGCCGCGGUAAUUCUAGCUCCAAUAGCGUAUAUUAAAGUUGCUGCAGUUAAAAGCUCGUAGUUGAAUUUCGGGACUAAUAUGUCGGUCGUGCCUCGGUACGUACUGGCUUAUUGGUUUCUCCUUUCUGAAGAACCAUGAUGUCAUUUAUUUGGUGUUAUGGGGAGUUAGGACUGUUACUUUGAAAAAUUAGAGUGUUUAAAGCAGGCUUUAGCUUGAAUACAUUAGCAUGGAAUAAUGAAAUGGACGUUCGAACCUAUUUUGUUGGUUUCUAGGAUUCAACGUAAUGAUUAANAGGGAUAGUUGGGGGCAUUAGUAUUCAAUUGUCAGAGGU
rnacentral:misc_RNA from 1 species